ACAUGAUGCUCCAGGUCUCCGGCCUCCCCUCGGCCUGUCCGUUUGAUUCUCAUUAGCCAAGAAGGCGCACACACCGGCUGCCCUGCUGCUCUGCCAAACGCCCCAUGCUGCUGACUCGUCUGGUUUUACCCUCCAUGAAUAUUUUUGGUCCCUCGUCUCAUUAGCCGGCCCCUUUAGUGAACAGUCUGAGUCACUUAUCAACCCUCCGGAUGCACAUAUUCUAGUCAUUCAGGAGCUCCUGUGCUUUUUGCCUCUGCACGGAGAUAGAACUAUGUUUUGUUUCUGUCAGCGCAGAUUUAGUGGCUUGAGGGAGAAUGGACUAGCACAGAAAAGGUUUUCUUAUUUGAUCCAUCCUUCUGCUUUUUUGCCUUUUAUAUGAUCUUUGGAACUUAAACUUACAGGAUUUAUUGAGCCCUGCAUUUUAAAAAGCCAUUUUUAAAGUUAGAGUUGAUUUAGUGUUGUGUCAAUUUCUGCUGUACAGCAUAGUAACCCAGUCAUACAUAUAUCCACGUUCUUCUCUUACUUUCUUCCAUCCUCUUCUAUCCCAAGAGAUUGGACGUGAUGCCCUGUACCGUACAGCAGGACCCCAUUGAAGCCAUGUUUGUUAUUGUCGCUUUGCUGGAUGAUUUGGUGAUGUUCUCUGCGAAUGUGUGUUUCUAGUAUUGCCCUGUGACCUUUAUGACUCCUAUAAUGAGGAAUUUAAAAAAUUAUUAUGACUCCUACUGCAGUCAUCAGUUUUCUGCAGAAAAUAGUUUUUUCUUUGAAUACCCUCUAUUUCCCCUCUGUGAGGAAUUUAUUCUCCCUUUGGUGCGUGGGGACAAAUUAUGUUCAUAACAGCCAUUAAUGAUACUGGGAAGAGUGUGUAAAUCUUUGAUGCAUUGAAAGCCAAAUGGUGCCCUGGUGGGUCUUUUUCCCUAUCUUACCUUGACGGAUUUUGUUUGGCAGCAUGUGCUAUAGGUUGUUUGGAGUGUCUGUCCUCAUAUUUUCUUCCGACUCUAUGCUCACGCCGUACACACAGAUGCAUGCGCUCACAGGUGUGGUCUUAGAAAGUGGAGACGUAAGUGGAAAACUAAGAUCUAACACGUCAUUUUAAUUUUCAGUGAGAGGCUGAAUUUGUGUCUGAGUUCUGGGUCUCUCCUCUGUGUUCCCACCAUACCCUGGGAUCCCGGGGUGGCCCUUCUGACACUGGGAAAUGGCUGUUUUUACUUGGUGGUGUCCCCAUGAGGAAUGGAUUUGGCAAUGCUGUACAUCUUCGAUUCUGAGUAUAAGGUGUCUGCUAACCCCACCUUGGCACUAUUGUCAUGCUAAAGUAAGUAUCUUGUGAGUUGCUGGAUAAAUAUGUGCUCUUAUUUCUAACGCAUGGAAUAUAGAAUAGGGAAAUGAAAAGAAUGCAGAAUUAGAUGUUAGAUACCGGGACCUUAUCCAGCUAAUCAUCUGGCUGUGUGUUUUAGGAAAUUUUCGUAAUCUCCCUAACAUGAGUUUUCUCAUUUGUAAUAGAGUGGUUCCUGAGAAGAUUGUUAAAAGAAUCAAGUGAGAUUCCACAUCCAUUUUGAUUGAGCAAACAUUUACAGAGUAUUCAUUCUCUCAGGGCUGGGCUCUGUGCAAAGUGCUGAGGAGAAUAAAACUCCACCACUGUUUUCCUGAAAUUCGGAGACUACGAGAGAAGUUCCUCUCAAAGGCUACAGUGCACCAAAGUCAAGGGGAUCUUGUUAGCACUGUUGGUUCUGGUGCCAUAGGUUUAGGGAGAACCUGAGAUUCCCCAGAGAUGUCAGUGCUGGAGGUUCCUGGACCACAUCUUGAUUAACUAAGGCUUUAGGGAGAUGUUGGCGAACAGGUGUUCCUGCAAAGUGGUAAGGGCUGCAACCCUGGCAUCCCAAAGUAGGAUGUGAGCAUAAAGAGGAAGCAGUCAGUUAGUGCUGGGGAGACGGAAGAGGCAGGCUGAGCUGUGAAGUGGGUCAUCUAGGGCCUGAAUUAGUCAAUUUACAGCCAGAAAAGUGGGAAAGGUCUUUGGUCAGAGCAGGCAACGUGGACCUGGACACUGGCUGGCUCCAGCAUCGCGUUAGGAACCAGAGGAGAAGAAUGGCAAGAAAGGAGGCUAGAACGCCCCCUUGGGGCCAGUGGGUGAACAGUUGGUCCUAUUUGCCAAGCUGAGACCUCAGACUCAACGCUGGAGUCAAUAUGCUGUCAAGAGAUUUAGCAGGGCCGUUAUCUUAUAUGUGUGAAAUAGGCAAUUUGCAUAACUGAAAGUAGAGUGUCCUGUGACACCCCCAGGUAGUAAAUGAAAAGAUUAAGACUGUAGGUGAGAGGCGGUGUUUUAGGAGAGCCUUGAACAGGCUUUGGAGAAAAACAGCAGGAAUUGAAUUCUGGCUCCACUAGAAGGAUUUUUCAGCUAAAAAUCUAUUGAGAAAUUUUAUUUGCUUUCUGAAUCUGAGUUUUCUUAUCUAUAGAGUGGAGGUAAUAAAGACCAUCUUAUGGAAUAAUUGUGAAGAUGAAUCCUUUAUGUCAUUCUUUGAAAUAUCAUUUUUUGGUAGAGUAUGCAGUUUGGGGCUUGCAGAAGGUGUUUGCUAACUUCUUAUUAUUAAUAAUGUUGACUUUGAGAAGUUUCCUCAUGGUGCCAUGGAUUAAGGAUCCAGAGCUGUCACCGCUGUGGCUCUGGUCACCGCUGUGGCACGGGUUCAUCCUCUGACCCGGGAACUUCCAUAUGCCACUGGUGAGGCCAAAUUUAUAAUAAUAAUAAUAAUAGUGUUGAUUUUGAGCUCUUAUAAACGCCUGCCUAGGACAUGACCUAGCGGAUUUGGACAGCAGCUAUGUUGAUGGACGUCAAGUGCCUUUUGCCCUGGGUGGUAUUCUGAUGCCUUCGGAGACCGUCUUAGAAGCUCAGUUGGUCCUGUGGGUGACAGGGAUCACCAGUGUUCUGCUUGGACAAUGCUCUGAGAGACUUUAGAGGGUGUUCUAUAAAGAGUGGGAAAGGUUUUCUUAAAUGUUCAAAAAUGAGGAAGACAAAGAAGUGUUUCUGGCCAAGGGAGAGAAGGUAGAGGAUUGCUGUAGUACCUGUCCAAGGAUUUAGUUCAACAAGACAGGUUCAGUUUAUUGGAGAAGGUUUUCCUGACCGAAGCAGAUCUGGGUGAGAUGGCUUUCCCUGUGCUCUGCAGCAUGGAGUGACCAUCUGCAGCACGACCUCGUCACCCUUUGCUUUCUCUACAUGACGUUGCGCUUCUGAAGGCAGGGACGGUUGUCUUCCUCAUUGUGGAUUUCCCACUGCCUGGAGCAGGGACACAAAGUUGGCUUUCAAUAGAUGUUUUCAUCUUCACAGUUCUGUGAGUCGUACUGUGCUCGCUAGAAAGGAAUGACGCUGGCAGAGGGGUUGAAGGAGGUCUGGGGUUUAGGGAGUUGUGGGAGUCUGCAGUGUCCUCUUCAGUUAGUCCAGUUCUGGCUCUGUGUCCUAUUUUGGAUACUGCUUUUGAGAUCCAAGUGUCCCUCUUGAACCCUGUCUGCAUCCACAUCUUGUUUCAUGUUUAUUUUGGCCGAUCACGUUAGAAUAAAGACCUUGUCUCUUCCAUAACUCCCCUUCCCAGAAACCUGAUGUCGUCUCUGAAUCCCAGCCUGGGAACUGGAGCCAGUGGGCCUCUAUGCUGCAUGUUGGAUGUGUCUUCCCUGGGGGACGACUCCACCUAUCCCUGGAGGGGAGGCGCUGAAUGCUCCUGAGCCCUUCAACUUGAUCUCUCCCUGGCUUCUAGCAGCUGCGGAGAAAUCCAGCACCUGCCUGUUAUCCUCUCCUUGGAUGCUGCGUUUGGUCGGAUAGACUGGGUCCUGUCUCAGCACCCAGGGUAGCAUCUCUCCAUUGAAGGGCUCUGAUUUCCAGGUUCUGACCCUUCCUGGUCUGUUUUGUUCAGUUAAUCCUGAGUGGACCAAGAUCAAAAGCAUGAUUACAUUAAAUGAAUAGGAGUUUUAUAGAAUGGAAUGUUUCUUCAUUUCCAAUAAGGAUUUUUAAAAGGUCAACUUUGCUUCAGUACAUGCCAAAGGGGUGGCAUUUAGAGAGUAGUAAAUAUCAUUUAAGAAAAUUCCCUUCCUAAAAUAGUGUAUCCUGCCUAGUACUGGCGAGAAGGUUAGAUCAAGGGUUUCUACUCUCAGGGGUAUUUCUCUGUUAGUUAUAGUCACAUGUUCCCUGACUUUAUUUCAUAUGCUAGCAUACAACUUUAGCAAAACUCGUGUCAGACCUGUUUCUAUGAAUAAAUUUACUGCGGUUCUUUUUGUGGUAUUAUCUCCUGCCAUCUAAUAAACAGAGGAUUUUUGAAGCAAGUUUUAUUCAUGAAAAUAAAAUACUUCAGCAUCAUGAAAGAAUGUUGAAUAAUG
rnacentral:lncRNA from 1 species